GGUUUUGUAGUGUAGUGGUUAUCACAUCUGCUUUAUCUGCAGAUAGUCCUGGGUUCAAUCCCCAGAAAAACCU